rnacentral:rRNA from 1 species
GAUGAACGCUGGCGGCGUGCCUAAUACAUGCAAGUCGAGCGAACGGACGAGAAGCUUGCUUCUCUGAUGUUAGCGGCGGACGGGUGAGUAACACGUGGAUAACCUACCUAUAAGACUGGGAUAACUUCGGGAAACCGGAGCUAAUACCGGAUAAUAUUUUGAACCGCAUGGUUCAAAAGUGAAAGACGGUCUUGCUGUCACUUAUAGAUGGAUCCGCGCUGCAUUAGCUAGUUGGUAAGGUAACGGCUUACCAAGGCAACGAUGCAUAGCCGACCUGAGAGGGUGAUCGGCCACACUGGAACUGAGACACGGUCCAGACUCCUACGAGAGGCAGCAGUAGGGAAUCUUCCGCAAUGGGCGAAAGCCUGACGGAGCAAAGCCGCGUGAGUGAUGAAGGUCUUCGGAUCGUAAAACUCUGUUAUUAGGGAAGAACAUAUGUGUAAGUAACUGUGCACAUCUUGACGGUACCUAAUCAGAAAGCCACGGCUAACUACGUG